UUUUAUGAGAGUUUGAUCCUGGCUCAGGACGAACGCUGGCGGCGUGCCUAAUACAUGCAAGUCGAACGCUUCUUUUUCCACCGGAGCUUGCUCCACCGGAAAAAGAGGAGUGGCGAACGGGUGAGUAACACGUGGGUAACCUGCCCAUCAGAAGGGGAUAACACUUGGAAACAGGUGCU
rnacentral:rRNA from 1 species